AGAGUUUGAUCCUGGCUCAGGAUGAACGCUAGCUACAGGCUUAACACAUGCAAGUCGAGGGGCAGCAUGAACUUAGCUUGCUAAGUUUGAUGGCGACCGGCGCACGGGUGAGUAACACGUAUCCAACCUGCCGAUGACUCGGGGAUAGCCUUUCGAAAGAAAGAUUAAUACCCGAUGGCAUAGUUCUUCCGCAUGGUGGAACUAUUAAAGAAUUUCGGUCAUCGAUGGGGAUGCGUUCCAUUAGGUUGUUGGCGGGGUAACGGCCCACCAAGCCUUCGAUGGAUAGGGGUUCUGAGAGGAAGGUCCCCCACAUUGGAACUGAGACACGGUCCAAACUCCUACGGGAGGCAGCAGUGAGGAAUAUUGGUCAAUGGGCGAGAGCCUGAACCAGCCAAGUAGCGUGAAGGAUGACUGCCCUAUGGGUUGUAAACUUCUUUUAUAAAGGAAUAAAGUCGGGUAUGCAUACCCGUUUGCAUGUACUUUAUGAAUAAGGAUCGGCUAACUCCGUGCCAGCAGCCGCGGUAAUACGGAGGAUCCGAGCGUUAUCCGGAUUUAUUGGGUUUAAAGGGAGCGUAGAUGGAUGUUUAAGUCAGUUGUGAAAGUUUGCGGCUCAACCGUAAAAUUGCAGUUGAUACUGGAUAUCUUGAGUGCAGUUGAGGCAGGCGGAAUUCGUGGUGUAGCGGUGAAAUGCUUAGAUAUCACGAAGAACUCCGAUUGCGAAGGCAGCCUGCUAAGCUGCAACUGACAUUGAGGCUCGAAAGUGUGGGUAUCAAACAGGAUUAGAUACCCUGGUAGUCCACACGGUAAACGAUGAAUACUCGCUGUUUGCGAUAUACGGCAAGCGGCCAAGCGAAAGCGUUAAGUAUUCCACCUGGGGAGUACGCCGGCAACGGUGAAACUCAAAGGAAUUGACGGGGGCCCGCACAAGCGGAGGAACAUGUGGUUUAA
rnacentral:rRNA from 1 species